CUCUGACACUGACUGAAUACCAAUGAAGCGAAGGUCACCUAAGCACCAAGCGAGUGGGAGAGCAGUACCCAGCAAAAGAUGUCAGUUUUGGACUAGAAACAAUCACUGUGGGAUAAAAACCAAAAAGUGCUUGCUACAGUUCAAUAAUAGAGGGAGGAAACAGCUGGUCUGUGCAUUUGUGAGUGAGCAGCAUUUAAUAAGCAUUUAUCUCCGUGAGUGAGUGGAGAGGAGAGACAACUGCC